UUUAAAUAUCCUGAUGCCCAAAGUUCUGCAUCCACCUGUCGUUUGGACCACAGGUAAAAGAGAAGCCACUAGCAUAAUUUCCAUCUGGUCAUCUGUUAGAGAGAAGAACAUCAGAGACUUGCUGAUAGCUGGUAGAAGUUCACAUUCCUUGUUGCGAAGAUGAAUUUCCUGUCUGCAGUUUCUCUGCUCCUUCUGGCUGGAAGAACUCUGGGGGAUCAACCAUUAGAGUUCAGGUUUGGCGACAUCAUUAGAUUCAAAUCACACUACGGUCUGGCUCUUGGAGAGCGAAAUACCCAAGGAGAUGAGAUGUUUUUUCACAAGACAGAAGAAAAAUGUGAAAUUAAAGAAUUGAAUCCUCAGACCAGAGAACAUCGCAGACGAGAUAAUUACCAAGAUGAAACUGGGAAAGUGCUGACACAACAAGAUAUCAUUGACAUAACAAACAGACUCAAUGAAUGCAAACAAUAUGAUGACAACGCUGAAAGCACACCGUGUUGUGGGAAAUUUAACAUGAAUAACAACUGUGAACACACAGUUACCUACAUCCGAUAUGGAAUUUCUGGAAGAGUGUCUUGUCUGGGCUGGUGGGAGUUGGUCACACGCUACAAGCAGAACCCUGCCCGUCCCGCCCAAUGUGCAAACUGGGAAGAGCCAAAUCAGACCUAGACCAUUAUGAUGAUAAAUUAAUCAGUACAUGUUCUGAGACACAUCUUGGAAUAAAUCAUGAUAGCA